UGUGGAUUAAUUCGAUGCAACGCGAAAAACCUUACCUACCCUUGACAUGUCCGGAAUCCCGAAGAGAUUUGGGAGUGCUCGCAAGAGAACCGGAACACAGGUGCUGCAUGGCUGUCGUCAGCUCGUGUCGUGAGAUGUUGGGUUAAGUCCCGCAACGAGCGCAACCCUUGUCAUUAGUUGCCAUCAUUUGGUUAGGCACUCUAAUGAGACUGCCGGUGACAAACCGGAGGAAGGUGGGGAUGACGUCAAGUCAGCAUGGCCUUUAUAUCCUGGGCUACACACACGCUACAAUGGGAAGGGACAAUAGGUUGCGAAGCCGCGAGGCGGAGCCAAUCCAGCAAAACUUCCCUCAGUUCAGAUUGCAGGCUGCAACUCGCCUGCAUGAAGUUGGAGUUGCUAGUAAACGCAGGUCAGCCAUACUGCGUUGAAUACGUUCCCGGGGCUU
rnacentral:rRNA from 1 species